UAGGGAAUCUUCCGCAAUGGACGAAAGUCUGACGGAGCAACGCCGCGUGAGUGAUGAAGGUUUUCGGAUCGUAAAGCUCUGUUGUUAGGGAAGAACAAGUGCCGUUCAAAUAGGGCGGCACCUUGACGGUACCUAACCAGAAAGCCACGGCUAACUACGUGCCAGCAGCCGCGGUAAUACGUAGGUGGCAAGCGUUGUCCGGAAUUAUUGGGCGUAAAGGGCUCGCAGGCGGUUUCUUAAGUCUGAUGUGAAAGCCCCCGGCUCAACCGGGGAGGGUCAUUGGAAACUGGGGAACUUGAGUGCAGAAGAGGAGAGUGGAAUUCCACGUGUAGCGGUGAAAUGUGUAGAGAUGUGGAGGAACACCAGUGGCGAAGGCGACUCUCUGGUCUGUAACUGACGCUGAGGAGCGAAAGCGUGGGGAGCGAACA
rnacentral:rRNA from 1 species